rnacentral:rRNA from 1 species
GAUGAACGCUGGCGGCGUGCCUAAUACAUGCAAGUCGAGCGAACAGACGAGGAGCUUGCUCCUCUGACGUUAGCGGCGGACGGGUGAGUAACACGUGGAUAACCUACCUAUAAGACUGGGAUAACUUCGGGAAACCGGAGCUAAUACCGGAUAAUAUAUUGAACCGCAUGGUUCAAUAGUGAAAGACGGUUUUGCUGUCACUUAUAGAUGGAUCCGCGCCGCAUUAGCUAGUUGGUAAGGUAACGGCUUACCAAGGCAACGAUGCGUAGCCGACCUGAGAGGGUGAUCGGCCACACUGGAACUGAGACACGGUCCAGACUCCUACGGGAGGCAGCAGUAGGGAAUCUUCCGCAAUGGGCGAAAGCCUGACGGAGCAACGCCGCGUGAGUGAUGAAGGUCUUCGGAUCGUAAAACUCUGUUAUUAGGGAAGAACAAAUGUGUAAGUAACUAUGCACGUCUUGACGGUACCUAAUCAGAAAGCCACGGCUAACUACUUG